UACGGAAGGCAGCAGUGGGGAAUAUUGCACAAUGGGCGAAAGCCUGAUGCAGCUAUGCCGCGUGUAUGAAGAAGGCCUUAGGGUUGUAAAGUACUUUCAUCGGGGAGGAAAAACAAAACUAAUAAUUUUAUUUCUUGACGUUACCCGAAAAAGAAGCACCGGCUAACUCCGUGCCAGCAGCCGCGGUAAUACGGAGGGUGCUAGCGUUAAUCAGAAUUACUGGGCGUAAAGAGCACGUAGGUGGUUUUUUAAGUCAGAUGUGAAAUCCCUGGGCUUAACCUAGGAACUGCAUUUUGAAACUGAAAUACUAGAGUAUCGUAGAGGGAGGUAGAAUUCUAGGUGUAGCGGUGAAAUGCGUAGAUAUCUGGAGGAAUACCUGUGGCGAAAGCGGCCUCCUAAACGAAUACUGACACUGAGGGUGCGAAAGCGUGGGGAGGCAAACAGGAUUAGAUACC
rnacentral:rRNA from 1 species